CAGUAGCCGCGGGAACACGGAGGGUGCAAGCAUUAAUCGGAAUUACUGGGCGUAAAGCGUGCGUAGGCGGUUCGUUAAGUCUGUUGUGAAAGCCCCGGGCUCAACCUGGGAAUGGCAAUGGAUACUGGCGAGCUAGAGUGUGUCAGAGGAUGGUGGAAUUCCCGGUGUAGCGGUGAAAUGUGUAGAGAUCGGGAGGAAUACCGAUGGCGAAGGCAGCCCCCUGGGAUAACACUGACGCUCAUGCACGAAAGCGUGGGGAGCAAACAGGAUUAGAUACCCCAGUAGUCCCUGUCUCUUAUAC
rnacentral:rRNA from 1 species